CAAAACUCGUAACGGYGGAUGUCUUGGCUCCCACAUCGAUGAAGAACGCAGMAAAAUGCGAAACGUAAUGCGAAUUGCAGAAUCCGWGAAUCAUCAAAUCUUUGAACGCAAGUUGCGCUCGCGGGUAAUCCUGCGAGCAUGUSUGUUUGAGUGUCC
rnacentral:rRNA from 1 species